UGGAUAUGGUUUUGCAGGGUAAAGCUGGGGUGGAGAACAGUAGAUCGUGCCAUGACUGCCCUGCAUUAAUAAGGUUGCUCCGCUCAAAGGCAAUGGUUGGUACAUAGCUGAGCAUCGUGAGCAACACACCCACUCGCUGUCUCCGACACAUGGGCACACAAUACACUGGCUUUCCCACAAGCACAUUGCUCCUCCACCAUGCCCUUCCCUCAAUCUCCCUAAGCCUCGUGGCAUUGCCAGCACAUCUCCGUUGAUAUGGACGACGACCCACUACCAAUCGCAACGACACAAGGCUGUAGAUCGGCAGCCGGUCGCUGAUAGGCUAUCAGAACUGGCAAGCAGUGUUCCAUCUCACAUUUUCGGCAUCUUCGUGGUUCCUUCUCCAAGAUUUGCCUCCCAGGCAUCAAAUCGACGGGGCCAAUCCCCUGGUGAGAAGGCUUUGGAUUGCCGGGGCCGCGUUCGCUUGCACCUUAGUUGGAUCUAUGUUUGCUUGCUAGACCAGUGAUCUCCGCCCCUUACUUCACAUAUGAUUCUCCUAACCUGGGGGCAGCAGUCAUUCUCUCCUCUCUGUUUUCUCACGUUUUCAAAGGGGAACUUGGUUUCACCAAUCUACAAGCUGGAGGAAGCUCACUGACUAUCGUUCUCCUAUUUUAUGAAAUGUCAAGCAAUUCAGUGUUCACCCCUGAAAUGACUAGGCACUCCAUGAGCUUUUAUUUUCUGUUUUCAGAAAACCAACCUGUAGAACUGACAACAUUCUUUUCUAUCAGCUAUAUAGAGAACAGUAUGGCAUUCAUCCAUGGAGGUUUAUGCACCAAAACUGUCCCCUUUUGCAACUUCAUCUCUAUUGGAAAUGCUAACACAAAAGGUGUAGGUGAAUUUGAGAUCCUUUUACCUCUGAUGCAUUUUCCCCUACUUUCAGUAGUUAAAUCAUUAGCCUUGACCUUGUCAUCCUAUGGACGUAGAAAUUAAUUCAACUCUCUAAGUACAUGUACUUUUCUAUGUUACUUUUCUACCUGACCAUAUUAUUUUAUAUGAUGCUUGCAAGAUGAUCUUCUAAUAUGUUUACUCAGUGAGGCUCCCACUCAUAACCUGAGUUGUUAUUGUAUUGGUGCCCUGCAAUGAUGUUAAAUCGAGCAACGUAAAUGAAUAUGUCCACUAUGUGGUACUCUUAUUCUUUGCUACUUGUUCACAAAUUGUUUGAUUGAUGCUUGAUGGAAAAAGCUAUUGUUCCUGGACUGAAUGAAGCUGAGAUAUUAUCAUAACUUAAACUUAUAUCAGUGAGAUGUAUAGAGAUUUAAAUGCUGAUUUAGUAAUUAUUUAUUUCUUGUGAUAUUGACAUGCCUUCUCUGAUGCUAAUCUGCAUGAAGUGUGAUACAAGUAUGGUGUUUCCAAUUGUAUGAGUGCUCUGAAGCAACAAUUAGGUAGCUGGAGGUGGAGGCAAAGAGUUCACUCCAAUUAGUUGUCACAGUUCGCCAUAUUGUACAUCUAGAGCUCUCUUAAUAUUGGAAGAAUAUAUAUGUGGAUAGCUCUUGUUGUGUCCUUGUUUGCUCACCAUUGUCUUUGAAUCGACUAUGAAUUAGAAUGCAUAACUAAGCAUGAUGACAGUGAUGCUGAAUUUAUUACAUUAGAAGAUAUAUAGGCUCAUGAUAACUGAAUAUGGAUGGCUGAAUAACAGACGGUUACUCACUUUAGUUUGUGACUUGAAAUAUAUCUCACGCAUUGCACAAAACCUUGCAUCUAAUCUAACUAUCAUGUGCCUCUGAAAAUAUAAGAACACUUGACUGCCACAGGUGUGACUCAUAUCAGUUAGUAUCAAAAUUUAAAUAACUAAUUUACCUUCACAUUUCCAUCUGACUUGGGCUUCAUAUAAUCUGUCAUUUAGUGUUGGGGUGCAUACCUUUUGCAUCAGUACAUCAGAAUUCCGGCAUUCUUCGGAUUGAGUUUAUUUCUAAACAUCUAACAGAAGAGCUCAAUGAAAAAUGACUUCGAUGCACACAUCUCACUGCAUAAUGAGAAAUUAUGGUCUUUUCAUUGUCUUUGUUUCUGCAUCUUUCUCCAAUUCCCUGAAAAUCUUUUAUGCUACUGUUUGACUAUAAUUUUUUCUUUUUCGUUCAGGUGUCAACAUUAAUUAAGCAACUUUGGUUUGGCUACAAAUGAUGUGCUGAAUUAACAUUGCUAAGCGAAUGCACUCUAUUAUUUUGGUAUGACUAACUAUAGGAACGAGGUUUCACUAGCAUGAAUAAUUUUUCCUGGUUGCACUACGUGAUUGAAUCCUUACUGGUAGUAGUUGGUUGUACCAUGUAAUUGGAUCUUUAUCAGUAGUAGUAGCAGAACUAAGUCAUGGAGCUCUGUGUUGAAAGUGCAAUCAUGCCCUUACAUUAUGUUUUGAUGUUGAUGACAAUAUACAUGUAGGGGACUAACAAUGGUUGUUAAGUAAAUCUCAGGUGUUAGUCCCCGGCUCAUCGAAGUGUGUGGAUCAAGGGCAUACAAGUGAUUUUACUCAAGGAUGAAGCAUAAAAAUUGACUUGAUAUUUGGUUUCUUGAGUAUAGGAUCCCGCGCUAUUAAGAGGGGAUCGGUAGGGUUAGUUAAAGACUUGCUCAAGUUACAAUAAUUCCUUGCUUCAGUAAAAACUUAGGGUCACACAAAAAUACUCUGUGCACAUGUUCUGUUUGCUCCCAUGCCGGAUGUCCGGGCUACCUGCCGGAUGUCUGGGUCACUGAUGUUUAGACACCAGUAAGUCUGCACGCUCACGCCGGAUGUCCGGGCUGCACCCCGGAUGUCCGGGUCUCCCAGCCAUGCCGGAUGUCCGGUAUUUUCCCCGGAUGUCCGGCUCCCUGUCAUCCCGACUCCAGUAGGUUUGCACGUUGCUGCCGGAUGUCCGGGCUUCGCCCGAAUGUCCGGGCCUUCCCGUGUCACCGGAUGUCCGGGCCUUGCUCCGGAUGUCCGACCCCUCUGUUUUUCUCCUGGCUUCUCCUAUGUUCUUCUUGUGCCUAGGCAGCCCGGAUGUCCGGCCACCCUGCCCGGAUGUCCGGCCUGCCCAUUCACUUAUGCUAUAACGGCCACAUUUGUGCUCACACUAUAUAUAGCCCUUCUUCCCCACGGGAGAGGGUUGACCAUUCACUUUGAACAAACCCUAGAACACCUCUCACUCUCUCUCACUCCUCCACACCAAAUCUUAGAUCCCCAAGGGAUUUGAGAGCAUUUGAGAGAAGUUGUCCGAUCAAGUGAUAGAUCCACUCCUUCCCCUUCUUUGCACCCAAGGAAUUCAUGAUUUGAGCAAGUCUUGAGCUUUUCCCCAUCGUUCUUAUUACUCUUGGAGGUUGGAGACUACUAGGCGGUAGGAGUCUUUCGGAGAGGAAUCGACCUUUGUGAUUACCCCCGGGAAAGUUUGUGAGGGUUUGGAGACCACCCCAAGGUCUACCACUAGUGGUUGAGAAACGCCUUCGUGGUGUUGUCUCAAAGGGAGAAUAGGGUGAGCCUUCGUGGCGUUGGUGUGCCUUCGUGGUAACAUCCACCUCUCUAACGGUGACGUAGCUUCCCUCCAAGGAAGUGAACAUCGGCAUACAUCCUCGUCUCCCGGAGUUGUGGUUAUUCCAAACCUAACUCUCUACUUGUGGUUACUUGUCUCUUAGCACUUACUUAUAUCAUAUUGUGCUUGUUUACUUACAUACUUGUGUUACUUGUUUAUCUUGCUUAGCACUUAGUACUAUAGUUGCAAUUGUUAGGCUCACUCUCAUAUUCCGCAUUAGUGCCUAAAAUUGCUAAGUAACAAUUAAAAUUUGUAAUUGUACCUAUUCACCCCCCCUCUAGGUCCAUCUCGAUCCUUUCAAUUGGUAUCAGAGCCUCGUGCUCUAUUCUUGUGGCUUAACCGCCCUAGAGCGAGAUGAACCCCGAUGGGACUCCCCGUGUUGCAGAUCCGAAGGAUAAAGGCGAGGCUUCCUCUGAAGUCAAAUCCUUUACUUCUGAGGAUCUGGAACGGGCCCUUGCUAAGCAAAAAGAGGAGCAUGAUGCUUCUGUCGAGGCCUUGGUCCAAAUGAGGAUAGCCACAUUGUCCACGGUGCUUGCACCACUUCCGGAUGGUGCGGCUUCGAGGCCAACUGUGCCUACUCCGUCACUUGGUCAACAACCUCCUAGCAAUGAGCACUCUAGUGUUCCUUGGCUUUAUGCAAGACCCCAAGUUGAGAAACCAAAAUAUAACCCUCAAGGCAAACCUCCUUUACUUGAUGCCACUUCCGAUUUUGCCUUAUGGAGAGUUGCUAUGCAGGAUCAUCUUCGAUAUGGAAACGAUGAGAUGAUAGAGAUCUUGGAGUAUGGUUACCAUGUGGUUGAUCCAAAGAAUCCUACACCAAGAGAAAUUUAUGACAAGAAUCUCAAUGACACUGCAAUCAUGUGUAUAAGGAGAGGUAUGGUUGAAAAGCAAAGGAGACCUUUCAUACACAUCACAAGUGCCAAGGAACUAUGGGAAAGUAUUAUAAGAUCCAAGACCGGUACCUCCACCCUCCGGAGUGCUCAAUAUGAAAUUGCCAAGGGGGAAUUGCAAACUUUUGUAUGGAGAAAGGUGAAACUCCAAAUCAACUCCUUGAGCGUCUCAUGACUCUCACCGCUGAUAUUGAUUCGUGUGAGUGUGACAAGACACAAGAUGGAUUCAACAUGACUAAGCGAUUCCUUGUGGACAAGUUGCUCCAUGCUCUUGCUCCAUAUCACCAUCAGAUGGUAUGGGACAUAAGACAACACCAUGCCUUCAAGGAAAUGACUACAGAUGACAUCAUAUCCACUUUCCAACUAUUUGAAGAGUCAAAGGCAAAUGCUACAAAACAUCUUGCCAUGCAUGGUACUCCAUCGUCGAAGAUCAAUCUUGCAUUGAAGGCCAAGCAUGUAUGUGAAGAUGAGCAAAGUGAAGAAGAAGAUGAUGAUGAUGAUGAAGAAGAUGGUGAUGAGGUUGAAUCCGAUGAGGGCCCUUCAUAUGAAGACAUGGCUCUCUUUGUCAAGAAGUUUAGCGCGAGAAAAUUCAAGGGAAGGUUUCAAAAGAAGAAAGUAAGAAAAUGCUACAACUGUGAAGAAACCAACCACUUCUCCAACGAGUGCCCUUAUGAGAAGAGAGAAGAUAAACCAAGGUUUACCAAGACCUUUCCCAAGAAGAAGUUGCCAAAUCCUUUGAACUCCAAGCUCAAGAAGGGAGAUGGGAAAGCAAUGGUUGCUCAAGAAGAAUCCGAUCCGGAUGAUGUUAGUGGUGUUGCCGGAGUUGCUCAAGAUUCUCAAAACACAUUGAGGCUAGUCAACAAGAGUGGUGAAGUUGUCACCUACAACUACAUGAAGGAUUACAAGGGCAACGCUCACAAGUGUCUCAUGGCGAAGGCCGUGGUAGAAGAUGGAGAGGACCAACACUCUCCUGACAAGGUCAAGGUAACCCCACGAUCAAACCCUCCUCUUUUCACUCCUCCUACUCCUAGUGAUGAGUAUCUUGAUGCGGAGGAUAGUUAUGAGGAUGAUGAUAUAAAUGAUCCUAUGCUUGCUAAACUAAAUAAGUUCAUGUGCUCCCUUAAAGGAAAGAAGCUCACUAUGUUUUGUAUGCUUAUGAAGAUGGUGAGUAAGCACACCAUUUCCAUUAAGGAACUCGAAACCCUCGCCACCGAGGAAAAGGAAAAAUAUGAAAUCCUUGAGCGGAAAGUCCAAUAUGAGGAAGCACGCAAUGAUGAACUAUGCUUAAAAAUUGGUGCAAACAUUGAUGUUCAUACUAGAGAUCUUGCCUCCUUGAAAAAGGCUAUUGACUCUUGCGAAGAGUUGAUGAAUGAUAAAAGUAAGCUUGUAAAGUCUAAUGCUUCUCUCUCUAAGGAUUGUGAGCUCCUAUCCGUGUCCCUCAAGACCAAGGAAGAAGAGCUCACCCUUCUUACAAAGAGUUUUGAGACACUCAAGCUUACUUAUCUUGAAACUCUAGCCAAGGCUUACUCUUCUCCUAUUAUCAAUGUUGAUGCUUGUACUACUAACUCUAGUAGUGAUCUAGCAUCUAUUCUUGAGGAGAAUCGCUUUCUCAAAGCUCAAAUCGAGAAAGGGCUCAUGACAUGUGCUCAAGGGCAAAAGAACCUUAACGAGGUGUUGAGCCAACACAAUGAGGUGUUUGCCAAAGAGGGACUCGGGUUUGACCCGAGCACAAGCAAGAAGAAGACAUCCUCUCAAAAGUGCACCACCCCUCUAAAAGAAACUUUUGUACGAGAAGGGCACAAGGAGAAAGGUAAGGUUGUUAGUGGGAAGGCCACAAGGGGCAUGCCCACUCUCAACAAGCCAAAAGAGUUCAUGCCUCCAUCCUAUGUACUUCGUAAGAGUAAGGAUGGAGAAGUUUAUGCAAAGUUUGUUGGUCUUCGAAAUGCAUUUCGGUUUUAUGCUAUUUGGGUCCCUAAGACCCUUGUGACUAACGUGAGAGGUCCCAUUGCAAAAUGGGUGCCUCUAACCAAGUAAUAAUUGUGUGUAGGUUGCCUUCUCCGGUGGAGUAAAAUGGGUGAUUGAUAGUGGAUGUACCAAUCAUAUGACUGGAGAUAGCAAAUUGCUCUACAAUUUCAUGGAAGCUAUUCAACCAUUUAUGAGCAUUAUGUUUGGUGGAGGAUCAAAAGGACAGGUACUCGGUUUGGGUAAGGUGGCUAUCACAAAUGACAUGUCUCUUGCAAAUGUCAUGCUUGUCCAAUCCCUUAAAUAUCAUUUGCUUUCUGUUCGUCAAUUGGCUUCUGUUGGUUAUGAUACACUAUUUGGACUAACGGAUGUGGAAGUCUUUAAGAGAGAUACUCUCGAAGUGGCCUUUGUUGGAGAGUUGGAUGGCAACCUUUACACGGUUGAUUUCUCGAAAGAGAGCACAUUCCAUGCAACUUGUCUAAUGGCCAAGGCCGAUAAGGGGUGGCUAUGGCAUCGCCGGCUAGCCCAUGUCGGCAUGAGAAAUCUUCAAGAUCUCUUAAAGAGAAAUCACAUCCUUGGACUAACAAAUGUCUCUUUUGAGAAAGAUCGUGUGUGUAGUGCAUGCAUAGCCGGGAAGCAAUAUCAAUCAAAGCACCCACCCAAGAAUAUUGUGUCUACUUCAAGGCCUUUGGAGCUCCUUCAUGUGGAUCUCUUUAGGCCUCCUUCGUGGGAUAGUCUUGGUGGGAAAAAGUAUGGACUUGUCAUUGUGGAUGAUUACUCAAGGUAUACAUGGGUCUUCUUCCUCAAAUCCAAGGACGGGACGAAGAUCACCUUCAUUGACUUUGCCAAGCAAGCACAACGCAAGUUUGACAAAGAAAUUCUGGCAAUAAGAAGUGAUAAUGGAUCCGAGUUCAAGAACUACACCUUGGAAGAGUUCCUUAGUGAUGAAGGGAUUGAGCAUCAAUAUUCAGCUCCAUACACUCCCCAACAAAAUGGUGUAGCAGAAAGGAAGAACCGGACCCUUGUGGAGAUGGCAAGGUCCAUGUUGGAUGAAUACAAGUCGCCACAUAGUUUUUGGGCCGAGGCCGUCAACACUGCAUGUCAUGCAUCAAACCGGCUCUUCCUCCGCACGAUAUUGGAAAAGACUCCAUAUGAGCUCCUAACCGGGAACAAGCCAAAUGUCACUCAAUACGGAUUUGAAGUUCUUCCUCGGAUUUCAAAUUCAACAAUUUCAAGAAGGGAUUUUCUUGUCUCAAGCAAAAUACCUCAAGGAUAUCCUAGCGAAAUUUGGCAUGACUAAUGCUAGCCCAUGUAAGACACCCAUGCCAACCAAAAUUGUACUCACUGAAGACUCAAACGGUACCCCCUUCGACCCAUCUAGAUACCGCUCUAUGAUUGGUUCGUUGCUUUAUCUUUGUGCAUCUAGACCAGACAUCAUGUUUAGUGUAUGCAUGUGUGCUAGAUUUCAAGCUUUCCCUAUGGAAAGCCAUCAUAAGGCGGUUAAGCAUAUUCUUAGAUACCUUGUUCACACCCCAAAGUUAGGACUAUGGUACCCCAAGGAUGUUAAGUUUGAUCUCAUUGGAUACACGGAUGCGGAUUGGGCUGGUGACAAGGUGGAUCGUAAGUCCACCUCCGGUGCAUGCCAAUUUCUUGGAUGCUCCUUGGUAAGUUGGUCCUCGAAGAAACAAAAUUGUGUUGCCCUCUCCACCGCAGAAGCUGAAUACAUUGCGACCGCCAGUUGUGCAACUCAAUUACUAUGGAUGAGGCAAACUUUGAAGGAUUACGGUAUCACCUAUAGACAUGUGCCUCUUCUAUGUGAUAAUGAAAGUGCCAUCAAUAUUGCUGAGAACCCCAAAGAUCAUUCCCGCACCAAGCAUAUUGAUAUCAGGUAUCACUUCUUGAGAGAUCAUGUGGAGAAGGGUGAUAUUGACAUUGCUCAUGUUGGCACAGAUAAGCAACCUGCAGAUAUUUUCACCAAGCCAUUGGAUGAAGCAAGGUUUUGUCAACUUAGGCGUGAACUUGGUAUCUUGGAGCUUGACAAUAUUAUGUGAAAUCUAGUACCCAUUCGUGCAUGAACUUAAUGUCUUGUCUUGAUGUAGGCAUAUAUUUAGGGGGAGACAUUCAAUUCAUGAAUAUUCUCACUCUACAUAAUGCAUAAAUAGAACAAACACUCUCAAAGUAUCAUGGUUCUCGAACUAUGGGCUUUAAUAUGAUGGAGUCGUGACCAUGUGCCCAAAGUCUACAUCUUUGCAGUCCUAUGGUCCAUAUGCUCAAACAUGGUGACCUCGGUCACCGCUUGUACCUUGUUUGUGUGAACCUUUCAUUACUUAUUUAGGUUGGGUGGUUAUUUUAUCUUAGUAUGACCAUAGAUGACUGAGAUUUCUACCCAUAUAAAUCUCUAAAAACUCCUUGGCGGAGUCUAUAUUCAAUUCUAUGUGUUGACCCCUUAAAAAUCCUUCCCCAUCCUGUUUCUCUGUCCAGUGGCCGGACAUCCGGGCCCUGAAGAAAAAAAAACCCUUCUGCUGCGCAAGCCACCAAUGCACCUCCAGUGGCCGGAUUUCCGGGCUGGUCCCCGGAUGUCCGGCCCGUUGGCCCUGUUUCUUCUGUUCCCUGACCUCCAAGCGCCGGAUAUCUGGGCCAUGCCCCGGAUGUCCGGCCCGUUGCCGCACCAUAUAACAGAGAGGGGCUCGGGCUUUUGGGGGAGUUACUCAUUCACUCCCGUUUCCUCUCCCCAUCUCACCACACAGCCGCCGCCGCCGGGGUGUGCUCCGGCGCUGCCCCGGCCAGUCUCCGUCGAUCUCCGGCCCCGAUCUCCUGCCCACGGACUCUCCUCCUCCCGAUCUACGAUUCUCUCCAAUCCAUUUCUUGGGUUGUGGCUUGAGUCUCUCGGGAGGGGCCGGUGUUCGGUGGGAUUCACCGCCGGAGUUCGUCAUGGCUCGUACCAAGAACUGCGGUCCCAAGGGUCCCGAGGUUUCUUCUCGGGGUAAGAGUGCUAUCUCUCUUCAUCUUCCUUUGGUCGUGACCAAAUCUUAUUAGGGUUGCAUUAUUCCCCAUGUACAUCUUGCCAUGUCUAGCGCUCUCGCGUUUUGGUACUGCAUACCUAAGCCUACAAACACCUCUAUAUGUACUCGGCUACUCAACUUAACCAUGGGAAUGUAAAAUUUUUGAUUUACCAUUUGGACUUGUCCUAUGGUCAUAAUCGGAACAUGUUCAUCCCACGGUUUAAUUUGGCUUAUCCUUGUUCAUAUUCUUUGGCUUCUUCUUAUCGGAACCUAUUCAUUAUCCUUUCCAGUUGAUCGCCGGCAAGGCUCAACCGACUCCGAUGAGCAUGCUCGGCCUAAGAAGAAGAAGACCACCACCAAGAAGAAGCGGGCACCAUCCACCAGUCUGUCGGCCUCGGAUCUAGAUGAUGCGGACUAUGUUGGGGAGGAAGAGGAUGACAGUGCACCAAGACAGUCUGUUGGACAGUCCAAGCCCGGUACUAGGAGGGCGCCGGUGCCUCAAGUUCGUGGUUCUGCAAUGCCCAUUGUCCCUGGUCGUCGCAUCUCCAUGGAGCUUCCUGACAGUGGAGGUCGCCCCACUCACGACUUCACAACUGUGGGGGCGGGGCAAUAUCUUCAGUUUCGUCGGGAUGUCAAUCAAUAUGAGAUGGUGGCUGAUGCCGAAGAUCCUCGGUUCCGGACUCGUAUGCAGCAGGAUCUCUAUUCCAGUUUCGUCCAUGGGCGUGGACUUGCUCCUCACUCAUCCUUGGAUCUCAACUUUCUGCGUGACAAUCCUGCCUUUUUCCCUAACAAUCCGGUCAAGAUCAUUGACGAUAUGACUCUUGGUCCUGCAAUGACCUUCAGGUGUGACUGGAAUGAAGCUGCCAUUCUACAGUUCUAUGCCACCUGUUUCUUUGGUCCGGACAACACUCUCACCUGGAGGACCGAUGACACUACACUGACGAUCACCUAUGACAGGUUUGUUUAGAUUUUGGGUCUCUCCGGUGUUGGCCAUUGCAUCCACAGUAUGGAUCCAGAGUACAAACCAAAGGGAUUGAUGCUUGCUUGCCACUUGUUAAACCUCCCUCUCAACUCACUAAGGAAGAGCUUGGAUAUCCAGUCAAUGAGGUAUCCAUCUUCCGUGCUCCUUACUACAUCCUCUACCAGUGUGUGCUUCGCACUCUCUACCCUAAGAAGGGAGAUCGCUCGAGGGCUCGCAACUAUUGCAUUGACUUGAUGGUUCGUAUGCAUGACCAACCCACUGAGCCUCUGGACACAUCAAAUUUUAUUUGGCAUGAGAUCCGUCCCUGCAGUUUCAUUCAGACACGCCAGUUCCCUCAUGCUCCAUUUAUUCAGGCUCUGAUUGAUCACACUGCUCCCUUUGAGGUGGUUAAGACUGCUGUGCAUUCCAUUUGGAAGCCUCCUCCUCAUAUGCGCGUGGUGGCUUCUGCUCCUACUCAGCCUGGGAGGUCUGUCGGUGGGAAGACAGCUGCUCCUACUCAGCCCAGUGGUUCCUCUGUUCCAUCUUCCUCGUCUGCGCCUCGUGGACGCCUUGCCUCGUUCUUCGGCAAGGCUCGGUCUGCUAUCAUGAAAGCAAUCACCUUCAGCUAUCAGCAGAAUCAUGAUGUUUAGAAGCGCCUCAUCAUCUCCAAGAAUCAGCUCAAGCAGCGCCUCCGUGACCGUGGGAGCCCCGUGAGUGAGGAUGAUCCUAUUCCUGCGGCUCCAUCCACUUCCACCUUCGGUUUCCCGUCUCGCGCUGAGUAUCCUAAGUUCUUUGUUGAUGAUGAUGACAUCCGCCAGGAGUGACCAAGUCCGUUUAGUUCUUCGCCCCUUUUUACUUGUUGCUGUCAAAGGGGGAGAAGUAGUAUCUUAAUGUGGUCAUACUUGAUGUAUUAGCUGUGUUAGCCCUACUAUUAUUCGAACCUGUUAUGAACUUGUUAUGUUGCUACCUAUGCUAUUGUCUUGAUCAAGUGAGACUAAGUGAGACUAUGUUGUUAUCUUAUUAUCUUGAUCAUGUGAGUCUAUGUUGUUUACCUUGUGGGUAUGGAUUUUGUUUUGUCCAUGUGUUAACAUAUUCAUCUCAUGCUCACAAUGAGGGGGAGCCAAAUACAAAUAGAAACAUCAAGUUACUUUGUACUUUCGCUCUCAUAUUUGUCAAUGCUAAGACUAUUUAUUACAACUGUGAUACUACAUGUGUGAUUGUCAUCAACAAACAAAAAGGGGGAGAUUGAAAGUGCAAUCAUGCCCUUACAUUAUGUUUUGAUGUUGAUGACAAUAUACAUGUAGGGGACUAACAAUGGUUGUUAAGUAAAUCUCAGGUGUUAGUCCCCGGCUCAUCGAAGUGUGUGGAUCAAGGGCAUACAAGUGAUUUUACUCAAGGAUGAAGCAUAAAAAUUGAUUUGAUAUUUGGUUUCUUGAGUAUAGGAUCCCGCACUAUUAAGAGGGGAUUGGUAGGGUUAGUUAAAGACUUGCUCAAGUUACAAUAAUUCCUUGCUUCAGUAAAAACUUAGGGUCACACAAAAAUACUCUGUGCACAUGUUCUGUUUGCUCCCAUGCCGGAUGUCCGGGCUACCUGCCGGAUGUCCGGGUCACUGAUGUUUAGACACCAGUAAGUCUGCACGCUCACGCCGGAUGUCCGGGCUGCACCCCGGAUGUCCGGGUCUCCCAGCCACGCCGGAUGUCCGGCUCCCUGUCAUCCCGACUCCAGUAGGUUUGCACGUUGCUGCCGGAUGUCCGGGCCUUCCCGUGUCACCGGAUGCCCGGGCCUUGCUCCGGAUGUCCGGCCCCUCUGUUUUUCUCCUGGCUUCUCCUCUGUUCUUCUUGUGCCUAGGCAGCCCGGAUGUCCGGCCACCCUGCCCGGAUGUCCGGCCUGCCCAUUCACUUAUGCUAUAACGGCCACAUUUGUGCUCACACUAUAUAUAGCCCUUCUUCCCCACGGGAGAGGGCUGACCAUUCACUUUGAACAAACCCUAGAACACCUCUCACUCUCUCUCUCUCACUCCUCCACACCAAAUCUUAGAUCCCUAAGGGAUUUGAGAGCAUUUGAGAGAAGUUGUCCGAUCAAGUGAUAGAUCCACUCCUUCCCCUUCUUUGCACCCAAGUAAUUCGUGAUUUGAGCAAGUCUUGAGCUUUUCCCCAUCGUUCUUAUUACUCUUGGAGGUUGGAGACUCCUAGGCGGUAGGAGUCUUUCGGAGAGGAAUCGACCUUUGUGAUUACCCCCUGGAAAGUUUGUGAGGGUUUGGAGACCACCCCAAGGUCUACCACUAGUGGUUGAGAAACGCCUUCGUGGUGUUGUCUCAAAGGGAGAAUAGGGUUAGCCUUCGUGGCGUUGGUGUGCCUUUGUGGUAACAUCCACCUCUCUAACGGUGACGUAGCUUCCCUCCAAGGAAGUGAACAUCGGCAUACAUCCUCGUCUCCCGGAGUUGUGGUUAUUCCUAACCCUAACUCUCUACUUGUGGUUACUUGUCUCUUAGCACUUAUAUCAUAUUAUGCUUGUUUACUUACAUACUUGUGUUACUUGUUUAUCUUGCUUAGCACUUAGUACUACAGUUGCAAUUGUUAGGCUCACUCUCAUAUUCCGCAUUAGUGCCUAAAAUUGCUAAGUAACAAUUAAAAUUUGUAAUUGUACCUAUUCACCCUCCUCUAGGUCCAUCUUGAUCCUUUCAGUUUUGUUACUGGAGAUCUGUUUAUCUGGUUGCUAACUGGUUAUAAUAUCUAAGAUUUUUAUUCUUAUAUACUAUACUUUAUUCACUUCACAAUGUCAAUAUGUGCCUGCUACUGGUAGCUUCCAGUUAGUUGUUUUCUUGUGUAUUCUAAGAAUAUAUGAUAUUUACUUCUCUUUUUUGUCUAGUUAAUUUUUGAAAUAAUAUACAGAAACAUGUACUAUUAGGUUAUGAAAGUAAUUUAAAUAUUUGCUCAAAGUAUUUAUUGUACAUUUUCUCAAUUGUUAAUCUCUCUGCACAAGCUAUGGGCAUCAACAGGCUUACUAGUUUGGUGGCAACAAAAAAGCAGAAGGAGAUGGGGCAGCCAACAACUAGCUGAGAGAAGGCGCCAACGAGGGGCUCAACAAAUGGACAAGGUUCUGCAUGAUAUGUCGCCAGCAGAGACAUAAGAGGACAACCUGCCCGGACCGUGGCCAUAUCCCGAAGCCUGUUCGUAAACCGGCCAGGUGCACAAACUGUGGCAUUGAAGGUCACAGGCGAAACAACUGCAAAAGAGUAGGCGAUUUGCGGAUAAACAACAUAUGAGGACCGACCACAAUGUCCUUGACUAAGCUAUCUGUUUGAUCGUUUCUUUACUGUAGACCAUUGUGUUGUGUAGCUAAGUGUGUGCGGCGAGAAUGUGUUGGAUUUCUUAUAAAAUCUGUCUUGUUUGCAUGCUUGCUGAAUGUAAUGCAGUGUUGAUGGACGUGUUAAUGACUCGUUUCUAAAUAAAAUGAAACUCCUCUGCGUGUAUGUUCAAACUGAU
rnacentral:lncRNA from 1 species